UACGUAGGGGGCUAGCGUUGCUCGGAAUCACUGGGCGUAAAGCGCACGUAGGCGGACUCUUAAGUCGGUGGUGAAAUCCUGGAGCUCAACUCCAGAACUGCCUUCGAUACUGAGAGUCUCGAGUCCGGGAGAGGUGAGUGGAACUGCGAGUGUAGAGGUGAAAUUCGUAGAUAUUCGCAAGAACACCAGUGGCGAAGGCGGCUCACUGGCCCGGUACUGACGCUGAGGUGCGAAAGCGUGGGGAGCAACAGG
rnacentral:rRNA from 1 species